CUAAUCAGAUUUGGGGGUUCUCGCCUUCGUCCUCCCUAUCUCCAUCUUCUUCUUUAUUCAUGUUAUAAACAUCAAGUGAUGAUCCAAAUCGAUUCUUAGCUUUCCUCUCCCUUAUAAUUCUGAUUUACGGAGCCUUCUGGUUUGAUUGUUUUUGUUGGCUUAUUUCUGAACCAAUUGUCGACAGGGAGAGCGCUGAAGUAAGAAAUAGAGAGAACGAGAUUGAAAACAACAGAGUAAGUGAUGGAGAUGUUGAGAUGAAGAGUGACGGAGAAGUCGAGAUAUAGAGACACGAAGCAACUGAGUAAGAUGGAGCAUUUUUAUAUAUCUUCUGGUCGGAUAUGCUUAAAUAAGCUUCGCUACGAUCAAAACAAGGAAACAUACACAUAAGUACAAUAUUGUUUAUGCUAUUUCCUAUUUCAGACGAAAUGGUCUUGCUUGAUGUUAUUUGAUCUCCAGAUAUUGGCAUCGUUCACGAUUCAUAAAGGUAAUCAAAUAUUGACCAAGAGCUUGAGAUGUCAAUUAAACAAAUCUGGAUGCUUUUCUCAUGAAUUAUGAUUAAACAUUGCUUCUUCUUUUGAGCUUCUGAAGGUAUUGUAUUUUUUUUCUUAGAUUACCUUGGAAUAUAAUGAUAUUGAGAACAGCUUUAACUACUGUAUUUUUAUAUAAGCACCCAAAAUGGACGAAGAAGUGUCAAAGCUGAAGGGGAAGCUAGAAUACAAUGAUGACGUAGAAGUUAAUGUUUCAUCUCUUGCAGUCUUCGUAUGUCUGCAUCAACUAUUUUUACACAAAUAACAAUAUGAAUCAUGUCUCUUUUGAUGUAUUUUCCCAGAGUUUCUUUGAUGCGUUGUUUAAGAUCGUCGAGGAUCUAGGUCCUAACAGUGGCUCUAUUGGAUUUAUCUUGGGGAUGACGCUGAUUAUCACCAUGAGACACAUGAUAAUCUGAAAAUUGAUGUUAUGCUUGAUACCAUGAGACCUGAUUUGCAUGUUAUCAACGAUUCUGAGAGAGCCAUUACUCUUAAAGAUGACGGACAUGUGACAUUAAAACAAAACCAAGCUUAAGAAGAAGCCUCUUCUAAAGUCUUUCCCGUUAAUUUAUUGCCAACAUUCUUUCUCUACCAGAACGAGGAGCAAUCUGGACUAAUGGGUUUACUCACACAGGCUUUGUUGGUAGGGUGGCGGAACCAUCCAGAUGAUGAGGUGCUGUUAAUCUCUCCGUGCACUCAAACCCAAUUGUAAACAACAUUGGUCCAGAAAACACCAACAGGUGUGAUGCCGCUGCAGUAAUCGAAGGCUGUUCAGAAGUGUCCGAACCAAAUUCUCUGCAAACUGAUACACUGGUGAACACGAAGGAGGAAACAACGGGUGCUAAGAAGGGUCCAAACUAUAAAGGGUCCUGAUCACUCAACCUAUAGAGACAAUGAAUCUGGCCAAAAAUUUCUUAAUUCCAUUUCUGCUUCCUGAGUUUUUACUCUUCACUGAAUAAUGUAGUUGUCUUGCAACUUUUUAGUUAAUCAGCUCUGGUUUUCGUUUGUUGAAGUAUAAUUGGUACAGCUGGUAAUUUUAGUAUUUAUGUUGUGGUUAUGAAACUUUUUUGUUAACCUGA